rnacentral:lncRNA from 1 species
CGAUCUCAGGCUCCUCGAAGCUUCUCGACUAGUAGAUGGGAUCUUGUGCCAAUCUGAUCAAGUCGUGCCGACGGACUCCUUUGACUCCUGCCGGCCAACUCGUGUCGCCACACACGAACGGCUGGGAACGUCUCUACCAAUAACUUCCACCCCCACGGUGCGGUCUGUUGAACUCAGGGCAGACCCAGACUAGAGUCCUCCCUUUGGGCUAAACAACUCGGCUGUUCACUACUCACGGCACAUCUAAUCCCUUUUCAAUAGGGCGGGAUGGUCGCCGAGACAGAGCAGUCGACCAGCUCGCCAUCACGUCAACAUGGUGUCAAUCCAAGUACUGCCGAACGAUCAGACCACCAGCACAAACUCCAGCAUAGGUUCUGUCCCUACCGAGGUUAUAAACUCCGAGGACGAAGAUUACGACCUAGAUUUGCCACCAUAUCCCUCGGGUUUUUCUCGCUUUCCAGUCUUUCCACCCCGGCGGGGAGAUCUUAUCUUCAAUGUCAGCAAUGACGAACCAGUCGUCGAUGGAGAGACAGACGAACAGAAGCCGCUCCGUGAAUAGCACAAUGCCGACCGCGCCCGACGGCGCGCGGAUGAGGAACGACAAUUUGCACCGCAUAACCUCAGCGACGCUUUCGACAUGGUCGGAGAUCAGCAAGUCUACAAAACGCCAAGUGCUAAUGUGGCUGUCGCUAUGGCAAACCUGGACCGACUCCCUAAUACUCCUGAGUGCCAGGGUGUCGGAUCUAGCCUACGCGCACACCUGAUCGCCGCGAUGGGACAGACAGCCACCUUACUCAAAAAGGUCCAAGCUGUCUCCUACGCAGAGGUCUCUUCCGACCAGACUCAUCGCAGCCGGACUUCACCACAACUCAGCGAGCACCACCGCAGCCGCUCCCCCAAUAAUCGCAGGAAGGAUGCAGGGCGUGGCAACGGUGGUCGGGACGCCGGCGGCUACCGCGAGCAGAAGCGAGGGCAUGGUCAGGAAGUAAACCAGGACAGGGAUCUACGAUACAACAUCCCUCCCAAGGACGCCCGGGACCGCAUCAACAGGCGCGCCACGAAAAGGCCGGUGCACGACAACUUGCGGCGCAUUGAGUACGAUGCCGCGCACGGCCCCUGGCCUGAGACAGUUUUCCUCGCACCUUCGCCAAGUCGUAUGGCCCCGCAACUUUAAACUCGAGAAUCUUAAAAAAUACGACAGCAAGGAAAACCCAGAAAACUGGAUCGCUCUCUACGAGAUUGCAGUCCGUUCAACAGCAGGAGAUGAGCACGUCAUGGCUAACUACUUCCCAGUUGUCCUCGACCAGGCUGGUCAUCAAUGGCUCCUUGGCCUGCCCGAGGACUCCUUCGACUCCUGGGAAGAACUGCGCCAGGCGUUUAUCGACAAUUUUAUCGCUACCUGCGAGCAGCCUGGGAACAAGUAUGACCUCAAGAGGAUAAGGGAUAGGAAAACGAGCCUCGCGUGAUUGCAUCCGACGAUUCUCGGAUAUGCGUCUUAAAAUCCCGAAAAUUUCUCACGACGAGGCCAUAUCUGCUUUCAUCAAAGGGCUACGCUUCCAUGAAGCACUGAGGAACAAGCUACUGCGCAAAAGGCCGACCACGAUGGCUGAGCUCCUUGCCACAGCAAAAAACUACACCGACGCUAAUGACGCAGAAAAGCUCAUCCGAGAGGAUGCGAGAGGUCCCGACCAGCCCCCUCGACAGGACGACAGUCAUGGUCGUUUUGACAACAGGAACCAUCAUCGCCCUGACAACCGCGACCACAGAGAAGGUUGGGAUAGGCGGCGUGACAAUCGUGAUGACUUCAGGGGCAAGUGCCCUCGCGACCACGAUCACGAGGUGAAUACGGUCAAGCGCCCUAAUGGGCGGCGGGACUACCAGGAAGACUACAAAAAGACGUUGAAGGGAUCGUGCCAACUCCACCCCAAGUCCAAUCACACGAUGGAAGAAUGUCGUGUCCUCAAAAGCAUCUACACACGGCGGGCUGCUCAAGACGAUCCUGCCAAGAACAACGGGAAGCAGGACUGGCGCGGUCACGAAGACGAAGACGACGAGCAGCAUAUAGGGACCCACGACACCAGUAUGUUAAUCCUACUGACGUGGUCCACUCCAUCUUCGGAGGCAAAGUUUCCAUCGAGUCUAAGCGAGGAAGAAAGCUCCUGAAGAGAGCCUGCCUCAACGUGGACAGCACAGACGGUCUGAUCGCCGAUCCGAAAUUCCCUCCCUGGUCGCACAGGGAGAUCUCCUUCAGCAGAAGGACCAAUGGGCUUCCAUCCCGGAGCCAGGACGUUUCCCUCUAAUCCUAGAUCCUUACAUCAACAGCAUUAGGUUCGAGCGCGUGCUUGUUGACGGGGAAAGCUCCAUCGACAUCCUCUUUCGCAACAGUUUGCGUGCUCUCAAGAUAACCCCGGCACAACUAAAACCAUAUGACGCACAAUUCUGGGGAGUCUUGCUAGGUCAAAGUUCAGUACCCCUCGGACAGAUAACACUGCCUGUCCAGUUUGGAACGCCCGACCACUUUCGAACAGAGUUUGUCAACUUUGUGGUCACCGACUUUGAUGGCACUUACCAUGCAAUACUGGGCCGACCAUCGCUGACAAAGUUCAUGGCAAUUCCACACUACUCAUACCUGGUCCUCAAAAUGCCAACAGAGAAGGGCGUCCUAACUGUCAGAGGCAAUGUCUAUACCGCAUACACUUGCGAAGAGGAGAGCUUCAAGAUUACCGAGGCAAUUGACCUCUCAAUCCGCAUGGCAGAAACCGUAGCCCAAGCCGCGCAGCUCCCACCUGACCAGCUUCGACUACCCGAGCAGGAGACUGCGAGGAAAAAUUCAAAGUCCAAAGAGCACAAGGAGGUACAGCUGGUCGACGGCAGCCCCGAAAAGACGGCCCUCAUCGGGGCCAACCUGGACCCUAAAUAGGAAGACGCGCUCGUCAGGUUUCUAAGGGACAACGUGAGCGUUUUCGCAUGGAAACCCGCAGACAUGCCCGGCGUCCCACGAAACCUGAUCGAGCACUCCUUAAACGUCUCGAAGACCGCAAGACCCAUCAAGCAAAAGCUACGACGGUUCCCUCGUGACAAAAAGGAGGCUAUUAGGACAGAAAUAACACGGCUUCUAGCAGCCGGAUUUAUUAAAGAAGUGUAUCAUCCCGAUUGGCUUGCCAAUCUGGUUCUUGUAAGAAAAAAGAACAAUGAACGGAGAAUGUGCGUUGAUUACAAUGAUCUCAAUAAACACUGUCCUAAAGAUCCUUUUGGUCUCCCUCGCAUCGACAAGGUAGUCGACUCAAUGGCCGGAUGCGAACUCCUCUCCUUUCUAGACUGCUACUCUGGUUAUCACCAGAUCUCACUAAAGGAAGACUACCAGAUCAAAACAUCUUUUAUCACUCCUUUCGGUGCGUAUUGCUACACGACCAUGUCCUUCGGACUCAAAAACACUGGAGCCACUUAUCAACGGGCUAUUCAGCAAUGCCUCCACGAUGAGAUUCGUGAUGACCUCGUCGAGGCCUAUGUAGACGACGUCGUCGUCAAAACAAGGGAUGCGAGCACUCUAAUUGACAACCUAGACCGAACCUUUAAGGCCUUAAAUAAAUACAAGUGGAAGCUUAACCCCAAAAAGUGUAUCUUUGGGGUCCCCUCUGGUCUACUACUCGGUAACGUCGUCAGCCGCGACGGCAUACGACCGAAUCCCUCAAAAGUAAAAGCAGUGUUGGACAUGCGACCACCCAAGAAUGUCAAGGAUAUUCAAAAACUCACCGGUUGUAUGGCUGCUCUCAGCCGUUUUAUUUCUAGACUGGGAGAACAAGGCCUUCCCUUCUUCAAACUUCUAAAAGCAUCGGAAAAAUUCUCCUGGACAGAGGAAGCUGACACUGCGUUGACCCAGCUCAAAACUUUCCUCACCUCACCACCCGUUCUCACAGCACCUCAGCCCAACGAAGAUCUGCUCCUUUACAUAGCAGCAACCGAUAGGGUUGUCUCCACGGCAAUGGUGGUCGAGCGAGACGAGCCAGGCCACGUAUACAAAGUCCAGAGACCCAUUUAUUUCAUAAGCGAAGUCUUAAAUGAGUCCAAGACCAUGUACCCUCAGAUAUAGAAGCUCAUCUACGCCAUCUUAAUAACUUCAAGGAAGCUAAAGCAUUACUUUGACGGUCAUCGGGUCCUGGUAACCACCAGUUUCCCUCUGGGGGACAUUUUGUUCAACAAGGAUGCCAACGGCAGAAUUGUAAAAUGGGCAAUGGAAUUAUGCCCAUUCUCCCUGGAUUUCCAGAGUCGCACUACCGUCAAGUCUCAGGCCCUGGUCGAUUUCAUCGCAGAAUGGACGGACCUCAACGAGCCCUCCGUUUCGAACACUCCCAACCACUGGUCGAUGUUCUUCAACGGAUCCCUAAACAUCAAUGGCGCCGGCGUCGGGAUACUCUUCGUGUCGCCCAACAAGGACAACCUACGCUACGUCCUUAGGAUUCUCUUUCCGGCGUCGAACAACGUCGCUGAAUACGAAGCAUGCCUACAUGGCAUACGACUGGCUGUCGAACUGGGAGUUAAACGCCUCUACAUCCACGGCGACUCUGCCCUAGUCAUCAACCAGCUAAACAAAGAAUGGGACACAACCCACGAAAAGAUGGAUCUCUACUGUAAAGAAAUCCGCAAAUGGGAAUCCCAUUCCUACGGCAUAGAAUACAUCAACAUGGUCCGAGAUAAGAACCAGGCAGCAGAUGCGCUGACAAAGUUAGGAUCAUCUCGGGCCCAGAUUCCGCAAGGCGUUUUUGUUCAGGACAUCCAUGCGCCAAGUAUGGGUACAGACCUGGUCGAAAAGCAACCCAAUGAGGCAAUGCUCAUAGACGACACCACUCCAGCAACCAGCAGCCAUGAUUGGCGCGCCCCCUUCAUCAGGUAUAUAUCGGAUGGAUCGGGUUUUCAAGAUAAAACGGAGAACGAGCGCCUCAUUCGGCGGUCCAAGAAUUACAUACUAGUGGAUGGCAAACUUAUGCGAAAGAACGCAAGUUCUAAAGUGCUGCUCAAAUGCAUAUCUCAAGAUGACGGCGUCAAGCUUUUAGACGACAUACACGCUGGGUCCUGCGGCAACCACGCGGCCUCCAGAACACUGGUCAGGAAAGCCUUCCGAGCAGGUUUUUACUGGCCAACUGCGGUCGCUGACGCCGAGAAACUGGUCCGACAUUGUGAAGGAUGCCAGUUCUUUGUCAAGAGGACCCACGUGCCUGCUCACAAAAUUCAAAACUAUUCCGUCGUCUUGGCCUUUUGCCUACUGGGGUCUCGACAUGAUUGGCCCAUUUAAGCCGGCUCCCAGCAACUUCAAGUUCGUCUUCGUACUAAUCGACAAAUUCUUGAAAUGGAUCGAGUACAUGCCACUGGUCAAGGCAACCUCCGAGAAGGCUGUGGAAUCACUGACCUGGGCACUCAGUUCACUGGCACUACAUUCUGGGAUUUCUAUGACGACAGGGGCAUAGUCAUAAAGUAUGUGUCAGUAGCUCACCCACGGGCCAACGGCCAAGCAGAGCGAGCGAAUGGAAUGAUUAUCGAUGCUCUAAAGAAAAGGCUGUACACCGAGAACGACAGAGCACUAGGACGAUGGAUGAAAGAAUUACCGGCUGUGGUCUCGGGUCUCCGAACUCAGACUAGUCGCAACACGGGUGUAUCACCCUACUUCAUGGUUUACGGCACCAAGGCAGUUCUUCCGUCUGACAUAACCUUUGGAUCUCCAAGAGUCGAAAAUUUUGACCAAUCUUCGGCUGACAUCGCCAGGGAGCUUGAAAUCAACUGCAUGGAAGAAAUGCGCCUGAUCUCAUGCCUUCGAACAGCAAAGUAUCUUUUGGCCAUUAGGCGGUAUCACAACAAGAACGUCAAAGACCGUUCCUUCGUGGUAGGUUAUCUAGUACUCAAGUGGAAAACAAGCCAAGAAGGAACGGACAAGCUAUCCACACCUUGGGAAGGACCCUUCGUGGUCGCCGAAGUCACACGCCCUACAUCUUACAGACUGGCGUAUCCAGAUGAAACUCGCCUGCCUAAUUGUUGGCACAUAGACAAACUACGCCGUUUCUAUCCAUAAGUUCCAGUAUAUUUUGUUUGUAAAACUCUUAUGAUCAGCAGUAAUAAAAUUUUUUCUUUCUUGCUAUGUACUCCUUUUAUAUGCAGAGCUUUCGACAAGUACAACAAUCUCCCUCUAGGACCAAGAUCCUUAAGGAUUAUUAACCCAACUCAGUGAUACAUCACUCAGACAACAUUGCAGCGCUCACAACCAUGGUUAUGAAAAAUCAAUCUUUAUUACAAACUUUACACACAAAGUUUACAAUAAACACCCCUCUGGGCGGUCCCUAGUCUAUUCCUACAGACUACUCUACAGGCCUACUGCUCGGGCUGAUCACCCGCUCGGCCUUGCUGCCCAGUCGAAGGGGUCGGGGCCACCGGCGCCUGGCUGGUCGAGACCGCAGGCGUCGACCACCCAUCUCCGGCAAUGGACGCUCCCGACAACUCCCUGGCCGACCUAUCUGACCCUGGCUGGUCGGGGGGAGUUGCCGUCCCACAGAGGUUGAUGUCGCCGAUCACUGUCGACGAUAGGUCAAGCAGACCAACACGAAGGUCGUCUGCCUCCUGUGGACCAACCUCCUUGGGGUACCCCCUCUCCAGUCGGGACAGGUCGACCAGAGGAUAGUGGGCGUACACCAUGUUGAGGACGUGCGCACCGGCGAAUUCCCCGGCGUCCUUGACAAACUGCUGGAGCCAGUCCCACACCCGUUGCGCCUUCUCAACCGGAGUCAACUUCGGCGCGCGGGGCUGGUCUUCAGGGAGCUCGGGGCUGAUCAAAUCGAGAACCGGGCCACUCCUUUCCAAAGCUUGAUGCAGUUGGCCUUCUAGGAGUCCCGGUCCUUGAUCAGCUCGUCGAAGUGCUUCUUGGUAUUUACCUUGAGCACUAUAAACCAAGCAGGAGGUCAGUAUACAAACAAGAAACGUAAUGUUGAGCAAUCACAGAAAAAAGGGAUAGAACGAUUCUCACCAGACAACUCUAGACUCUUGCUGCUUAGCUCCUUGCCAGCUCGGCGCCCGGUCUCCAGCGCCACGGCAAGCUCCUGGUCGAGCCUCUCCUUCUCUUGUCGGAGGUGUGCAACCUCCUCCUCUAAGUCUGUAGGGGCAAUUUAUGAUAAAAAAACAACUACGCAGUUAUAUACAACUGCUCGGAAUACAUGACUAACCCUUUCUUUCCUGAUCCUUGUCGGCUAAUCGCCGAUUGAGAUCGAGCAAGCGCUCUUCCUGAGCACCCAUCUCGGGCGUCUUCUCCUCGGCCUCCGACCAAAGACGGUCUACUUCCGUGGCCAGGGUCUUAUUCUCGGCCACGAUUCCUUCAAUCUGGUCGAAGCACCUCUUCGGGUACUUCGUCGUUUUCAUUGCGCCCUGCAGGAAGCACGUAUAUUGAAGUUAGAGACGGCGCAUAUAAAUUUCGAGCAGCGCAAAAGACCACUUACCUUAACCUCGACAACAAGCCGCUUAGCUGCGCGCUCCACCCUUGCGGCCUCCUUCAUCUCCGCGAGUUCUUCAUGGCCAAUGAAAUGGUCCCCGCGUUGGCGCCACACGUAAACGUGCUGGUGACCAUCUUGGGGACGACCUUGGAUUUCCUCCACUUCAUCGUCGGAGGCCGUCCGGGUCUCCUCGCCCUGCGCACUACCCCCAGCCAUGGUCGCAGGCAUCACUAGACCCUGGUCCAGGCUAGGGGAGUCCUUUGGUGAAGAGUCCUCUUCUCGGGGCGGGGUUUGGACUCUCCCUUCUUCAGCAGGUGGGGGAGUCAGAGCUCUGUCUUCCUCCUCCGCAACACUGCUCGGGGGAGGCGUCCUCACAGACUCUCCAUCCCUCGUAGGGGUGCCCGCUCUGGUCCUUGCCGGAGCUGGGUGCUCCUCGGCAGUCUCAGCCACGGUCACCACUGUGGGCUGCUCCUCGGCAUGCUCCUGGGUGGUCUGCGGCGCGGCAUCUUCAACAACAACCACGGGCUCAGCUGUCCUCCGGCCAGCAGUGCUGUCAGGGUCAACGUCCGAUGCCGCGCUAACGAAGAAUGCGACAUUUAAUCAAUGUCAAAAGUAGCAGCAACAAAACAAAAAUAGGAGGAAGCGUAAAAGUGAGAUUGAACAACUUACAGAUCGGAGCGCCUGUGUGUCGCUGUGAAGAACCUUCUCCUGGUCCUACCAGUCGCCGCCGCUGUCCCUGUCUCUCCAACACGCGUUGGCUCGGCGUGUGGGGCAGGAGGGUCGCUAGUCAUCCGAUCAGUAGUCGCCGGUGCAACGUCUGGACGACUACGUGACCUUCGGACCAAAGAGGGCGCGGCCUCCUCUUCCUCGUCGUCGUCGUCGGCAAUCCUGAUGAGCCGACAAUGCUUUGGAGCUUGGCUGCUCUCCGCUGCCAGCGCCUCCGCGGGGGACGGAUCCACAGCUAGUGGUCUUUUCCCAGCUACUCUGUCCUCGGUGGUCGGGGCGGGGCGGUUCUGCUCCUCCUCACUGCUGGUGUACAUAAGACACCGAGCAGCAUCGCCCUCCGGCAGGUCCACCCCCGCAGGAUUUUCCAUACCAGGUGCCAGUGACACGUACACUGCGCACCGGUCGAUGUCUCCAAUCUACAGUAGAACCAUCGACAAGUCAUCAACUUGGAGGACAAGUACUCAAAGAGCAAUACUAGUUAAUAACAUUAUUUAUUUACCUGGGAGCUGGUCGUCCCAGCUUGAAGGCGUGCAUCCGAUCACUGCUUCGAACGAAGUUGUCGUCCGUAAAGUUGAACAACUCGUUCAUCAGCUGCUGCACCUCCGCCUUCUCCAGACCAUCAGGGCUCACUCUGGUCGGGUCUUGGCUCCCCGCGUAUUCGUACGUCGAGUGUACCCUCCUCUGGCAGGGCAUCACCCGACGCACAAUAAAGUUACCGACCACUCCUGGCCCGUCUAAGCGGGACGAGUCAAUCAGUUUCAUCAGGUCUGCUACUUGACCAGUGAAAUCCGGGCGGUCCGUCUAGCUAACCCUCUUCUCGGAGAUGUAGCCCACAUCACAGAACGUGGAGCUGCCCGGCUCUUCCCUGAUAAAGAACCACUUCUUGUACCAUUCGGUGAGAGAAGUGUUCUACGGGCAGUUGAGGUACCGAUUCUUCAUCCCAUCACACAGAUUGAGGUAUACUCCACCUACAAUCUUGGAGCCUCCAACUGCUCCCUUCUUCCUCAGACAAAAAAGGUAGUGAAAAAGGUUGAAGUGCGGCUCUAUUCCAACAUAGGCCUCGCAGAGAUGAAUAAAGGUGGAGAUAAGAAGAAUUGAGUUCGGGUGCAGAUUGCAGAUCCCGAUCUCAUAGUAAAGAAGAAGGCCCUGGAGGAAAGGGUGGACAGGAAUCCCAAAGCCCCUCUUGAAAAAAUCUUCAAAGACUACGAUCUCACCAGCACGGGGGUCGGGGUAGCUUUCCCCUUCCGGCGCCCUCCAGCCGCCAAGCUCUUGGUAGUGAAGUAGCCCCAUUCCGACGAGGUCGUUGAGGGACCUCAUGCUGCUCCAGGACUUCUUCCACUCCUUCGCCAUCAGUUCACCCCUUUUCUUCGAGUCACUCUUCGCCAUUGACGCUGCAGAAGCGAUUGCGAGCUAGACGAUAAAGGAUGGAGGUUGCAGAAGGCAGGAAUGGCAAGAACAGAAGGCUUGAAGGCAAAGGCAGGGUAAAAAAUUACAGGCGUGGUGUUGAGUCUUUAUAGGCAACGGCUCCACCUCUUCCACUUCUCGCAUUCUUGGGAAGUGGGUGGGCCCAGCGGCGGAUGCGGCGUUUCGGUUUUCAAUACUUACCUGCAGUUAAUGUGGUGGUUUUUCUGUAUAAUUGAUGGCUUCCUUUUCUUGAACCACGCAAAGAGCGGCUGCACAGUUACCCGGCGCACCUUUUCAUGCAACCGUCUGACAAUACGUCAGGGUGUCUUGUCACAUCACUUUUUAAUGUGGCAGGAUACUUUUUCCAAGAGACAAAUACAAUUGGUGGAGGAUUAUGCGUAACAUACCUGGGGACUGUACCGACCACCGAGCACAGUAUGCUCGGGGACUGGUCGACCAGCCCACCAAUUUGAAGUCCUAGGACUAUACCAACCACCGAGCACAGUAUGCUCGGGGACUGGUCAACCAGCCCACCAAUCUGAAGUCCUAGAGACUGUACCGACUACCGAGCACAGUAUGCUCGGGGACUGGUCGACCAGCCCACAUAUUUGAAGAGUUAGGGGACUGGUCGAUUAGUUUAUUUGCAGACGUACCUAAUAUGCUCAGGGACUGGUAAAUUCAAUUUUUAGACCUUGCUACAAGGCUCAUACUUCGCCUUCGAGCAAGCUCGAGGACUACAUCGGUACGAUGCAUCUGGCGAUGCAUCACAGUUUUGAAAUUUCUAUGAAGACUUUUUUGACCCUGGCACCACGUGUCUACGCCACCUACUACCAGGCUCGGGGACUAAGUGGGCACACUUCACCUUGCGGUGAAUAUGCUUGCUCUUUUGAGGUCUAUACUUUUCGGAAAAGUAAAGUGGGCAUACUUCACCAGGAAAGAAAUCUUUUUUAAUUUAGAGCACCAUACAUUCUUCGAACAACCUGCUUCUUCAAUGUCAAUGUUGAUCAACUGUCUUUUGAGUUGGUCAAAAUACCGUUGCAACUGUUUGGGCGAUUUUUCUGCUUUUUGAAGACGUCAAGCCUCACUGAUCGAAGAAGCUCAAGAUGGAGUGUUACAUCAUAAUACAUGGUGCUCGGGGACUAGCUGUGGGGGUAUAAACCCCUAUACCCUUACGACUAGACUUAGGCCAGGAGGCUUCGCCCAUCACGAAGACAGUCCGAGGCUUGAUCCAACUGCUCGGAGUUUCGCGCAAGGAAAUAGGACGUGGAGAUAAAGCCGGAUUCUAGUCGGUUAGAAUAGGAUUUGAUAUCAUGCUAUCUAUGGCAAUUGUAACCGACUAGGAAUAGUUUCCAGAUCUGUAACCCUGCCCUCUGGACUAUAUAAGGAGAGGCAAGGGACCCCCCUAGGACUCAUUAUUCUCUCAACACAAUCCAAUACAGUCAGACGCAGGACAUAGGUAUUACGCCCACAAGGCGGCCGAACCUGGAUAAAAACCUUGUUUGUGUCUUGCGUCACCAUCGAAAUCGUAGCUUGCGCACCGUCUGCAGAUAAACUACUACCGUAGGUAUACCCCAAGGUAGACUGCCGACUAGCUUUCGUCGACAGGUAGUUAUCCAUAUUUAUCCUUUCUGCAUUUUUUUUCUUAAAUUAUUUACUUUCCUUAAAUAUCUUGUUAUUUAAUCAUGCCAUCUUGAAAAGAAAAUAAAAAUAUUAAAAACAGUAAGCCCCAUGUGAGUAUGCUCGUGGCAUAAAACCCAUUCACUGUGGUGGCGUAAAAAUAAAAUAAAUAUAUUCUUGUCCUAUAAAAAUGAAAAUAUAAAAAUAAAUUUAUGAUCCUACUAAAGAGAGUAAUAUUUAUUAGAGGAAGCUCAACAUGAUAAAGGCUAAGAGAUUUUAUGCUAACACUUAACCAGUUCCACAAAGCUUUGUUGUCUAUUUGAGCUCCACAGAAUUCAAGGAUCAAGGAAGACUAGCAAACGGAGGAUAUCCUAAUCGCUAUCAGGGUGCUGCCAACAUUCAAAUACACCUACGCCACCUGCUAGCUACAUUAGAAGAAAUUACGUUAAAAUCCAGCUUGGGGGAGAGCACCCCUAUUUAUCCAGCUAAGUGUUUCUACUCAUAUUUAUACUUUACUCGAAUAAUAAAAAAAUGCAUAAUCAUAAAAACCCAAUUAAACAUUUUGUGCUUAUAUAUAUCUUUGCUUAGUUUGCUAAAUAAAUAAAUAAAGUGUCUAUGCCAAACUGAACUUCAAUGAUAAACUCUUACAUGGAUAAGAUGAAUAGUUGCUCUGCCAAGUACCUAGUUUUCAAAUUUGAGCUCUCUCUCAAGUUUAGACAUAACUGUUAUAAUUUAAAGCUUGCUCUAAACCUGAAUUUGUGGGAAGAGUACCUGAUCAAAAGUCUAAGUCGUUAACAGAUAUUAUAUGGGAAGGUUAAGCUGCUGUUUAUCUGUUCCUAGAGAUGCUAGAAUUCUAGAGAAUUUUAUCUUUAAAAAUCUUUAAAAUAUUUCAUGAUGAGUUCCUGUAUGAUGAGAGUUUAAAAUCCUACCACAACCAUAUAUACAAGCUUAUUAGACUAUGAACCAUACAUUUACUUUUUACUGCUUAUGAGCAUUGAGUGUGGUCAAGCUGUGUAGACCCUUAGGAGCUUGUCAUGCGGUUAAAAUCAAGAUUCACUUGCACGUUCACUCAUACAUGCUGCUUCUACUCUAGAAGUACGCAUCCACAUACAUUCACUCAUUUCCAUAUCCAGAUUCACCUAAAGUUAUUCUACUCCUAUCUAGGAGAGAAUAGCCAAAAAACAUUAUCCUAUCCCUGUUAUUCCCCGUGAAAUAAAUGCUCGAGAUAUUUUGGUUACUACCACUUGCUACAUUAUUCUAGGAGGGUGAGUGCUCUGAAAAAAAGUGAAUACGAGGAAAUAAAAAGGAGCAAGUGCCCGAAACCUCAAAAAAAAGAAGAAGAAAAAAGAAAAAGUGAGACGAGAGGUAAAAAUGGACAAGUGUCUGACAGUAGAAUUAGGGGUACAAGAUACCCACCUGAGAGAAAAGAAAAAUAAAAUAUAGAGCGUCUCAUUCCCCUCAAAAGCCAAACUGCAAGAAAGGUAUGUUCCUCCUCAAAAGAGCAAUAAUAGAAUUAGACUUUCACCAUUUUUUCACCAUUAUCACCAUUCAUUCGCCACACAUGCACAUUUUGAUUGGACUUAUUGACUUGUUCUUCUGGAUCCAUGGUUUGACUAUACAAUAAGUGUCUUGUAAGUAUGUAUUAGCUGUCUCCCACCUAUGAUCUCCAGAUAUCAAAACCUUAUUAGAGUAGGGUGAGAAAGAAGGCAAUACCACUAUGCCUCAUACCAAAAAUACCACAUACUUUGAGAGAAGGCAUACACCAUUACUGCCUUGGUAAGGAUCUAGAAAUACCACAAAAAAGAGACUAGAGAGAGUCAUACAAGGAAUCUCUGAGUUUUAUUUAAAUAUUGCAAAAACUCCAGAGCUAUAGUUAAUCGAAGAACAAGAGACAUGGCGCUUGACUAGACCGUUCUAUCUUUUAACUACUCAAAACAUAAAUGACGGUUGCAAGCCUCAUCGUGGAAGGUAAAAUGAGUAAGUUUAAAUCUUAACAGUUUACCCUAACCCAGAGAUGAGAUCUUAUUUGAACGCAUGUGUACCUUUAAGGCAUGAAACCACUGCAGAAACUCUUAAUUCCAUCUUUGCUCAGGGACGAGCAAAGGUUAAGCUUGGGGGAACUUGUUGACGGUCCUUAAUGCUCACAUUUAACAGUCAACUAAUCAUGAAAAAGGAUCCAAAUGCAACCGACACCUAGACUUAGGUUUUCUUCUGACAGAUUUCCACGAGUUUUGGUGUUUGUCUAUUUCUGUAGGGGGUUAUCCGGAAAUACGAAGGAAAAGCCCACAUGUCGGGUUUACAUAGAGAAUUAAUGUGUGCGGUAAUUUUCCAUAAUCAGGAAUUCUCUAGAAGCAACUCGACCGAAGCGGAGCCGAGACGGGCCUAGGGCCGGGGCGCCUGCCCUGGUACAAGCACCAAUUACAGAAUUGAGUACACCAUUACAAAGAUCUCGUCGAGCUGAUUGAAAUGCAUAUAUUAUUUGCUAUAUUUGGACUUCGGAAUCAAGAGAUAUUAAUAAAAGAAGGACUCCACAUAAAAGAGCUGCGGGAUUAAUUGGGCCCAAAUCAGACUUUGGUCCAUUAAGGCCUAUGUGCAUUUUAAUGAGAUAUGGUAGAAAGUUUAGUACUAGAUCGCCUGCUGAACCAAAAAGGCACAAAGGAGGAGGCUAUAUAAGCAAGGCCCCUGACCCCUGGAGGAGAACACAUCAUUAUAGUGUUGAGAGGUGCCCUCGAAGGAUAACCUUUCCUCUAUAGAGAAUUAGGGCUAGAUAUUCCAAUGUAGUAGAUUAGUUCUAG